AAGUUCCAGGGUUCUUUGAGACCCGAAAAGUUGUCUUUAUAAUAUCCCAAUUUACAUAUAUUUAUGUACAUCGGGGCAUAAAAUAAUAGUUUGGUUUCAUCUGUGUGUGUCCAAUGAUCUUAGUAGUAAUCUGGUCUAUAUCUGGUCUGGGAAACAGCCCAGUAUGUGUGUUGUCCUGAUGAGAAGACGUUUUUAAAGUGCUUUUAAACGCUGAGUUUAAAGUUUUAAAUGAUUUUUUAAAAAGUGAUUCCACUUUUAUCACUCUGUUUUUAUUCACUUUGUAAAUAGUUUAUAGUGUCACCUUAUCUGUUCAAUCAAGGGACCAGGUUUGAGAACCACUGUAUUCGCUAGCUAGGUGACUCUACUAUGUUCUUGAACACGGCCAGAGAAUUCUACUGUAGAACACUAGAAGUUCUAGAACAUGGCCAGAGAAUUCUACUGUAGAACACUAGAAGUUCUAGAACAUGGCCAGAGAAUUCUACUGUAGAACACUAGAAGUUCUAGAACAUGACCAGAGAAUUCUACUGUAGAACACUAGCAGUUCUAGAACAUGACCAGAGAAUUCUACUGUAGAACACUAGAAGUUCUAGAACAUGACCAGAGAAUUCUACUGUAGAACACUAGAAGUUCUUGAACACGGCCAGAGAAUUCUACUGUAGAACACUAGAAGUUCUAGAACAUGACCAGUGGUUCUAUGUAAAACAUGCUGAAGAGUUCCAUUGACUUUGUGUCCAUGUAUCAGAUAAGAUCUAAAUGAAACAUAAAGACCGAGCCAGAAGGUUGCUCUUGGCUCACUAUAACACUGUUAGCCAAUUUCCUACCCGGGAGACUCAGCCUGGGGCUUAUUCAGUUUAGCCUAGAGGGCAGCUUCACAUUUCUCUCCACACACUGUAGACCGUGUGGCAACUCUUCUCCCUUUCCUCCCCUCAGGCCUUCUUUAAGGCUGUCGACUGCCAUCCUGUCUUACAUACAUCCAUCCACCCUUCUCUCCCUCCAUCCCUCCACCCUUCUCUCCCUCCAUCCCUCCACCCUUCUCUCCCUCCAUCCCUCCACCCUUCUCUCCCUCCACCCUUCUCUCCCUUCAUCCCUCUACCCUUCUCUCCCUUCAUCCCUCCAUCCUUCUCUCCCUCCAUCCCUCCAUCCUUCUCUCCCUCCAUCCCUCCACCCUACUCUCCCUCCACCCUUCUCUCCCUUCAUCCCUCUACCCUUCUCUCCCUCCAUCCCUCCACCCUUCUCUCCCUCCAUCCUUCUCUCACUCCAUCCCUCCAUCCCUCCAUCCUUCUCUCCCUCCAUCCCUCCAUCCUUCUCUCCCUCCAUCCCUCCACCCUUCUCUCCCUCCAUCCUUCUCUCCCUUCACCCCUCCACCUUUCUCCCCUUUAAGAGUUUCUCUCUGAGCCCCAAGACACUUAAGAGAGAGUUAGAGAGGGAUACUGUAGGAUUCAUCCCAAAUGACACCCUUCUCCCUAUAUAGUGCACUACUUUUGACCAGGGUCCAUAUAGCCAUAGUCUAAAGUAGUGCACUACAUAGGGAAUAGGGUGCCAGCUCUAGUCUAAAGUAGUGCACUACAUAGGGAAUAGGGUGCCAGCUCUAGUCUAAAGUAGUGCACUACACAGGGAAUAGGGUGCUAUUUGGGGCUCAGUUUGUUGACACUGAAUGUAGAAAUGAGUGAUUGUCAAAGAGAAUAUUACUAUGCUCCAUCAGGAUGUACUCAUGUUUAUUAUCUGGGGAAAUAAUAUCAACUGUAUCACUGUCAUUUCAAUAAAUACACAAGUUUGGCU
ensembl:lncRNA